GACGAACCGUGCGAACGUUAUUCGGAAUCACUGGGCUUAAAGGGUGCGUAGGCGGUCUGUCAAGUCAGGGGUGAAAUCCUUCGGCUUAACCGGAGAACAGCCCCUGAUACUGACGGGCUCGAGGGAGAUAGAGGCAGCCGGAACUACCGGUGGAGCGGUGAAAUGCGUUGAUAUCGGUAGGAACGCCAGAGGCGCAAGCGGGCUGCUGGAUCUCUUCUGACGCUGAUGCACGAAAGCUAGGGGAGCAAACGGG
rnacentral:rRNA from 1 species